CUCGCCGUCCAGCUCCCGGAUGUCCUCCUGGUAGAACCUCUGUCUGAGGCGCUUCAUCUGAGGCAGCUCCACGCACGUUUCCAUCAGCACCAGCAUCAGCAGCAGGCCCAGCAGCAGGUGCGACUUAUACUCCGAAAAAUACGGUAAUACCAUUUCAAUGGCUAUGGGGGUGUUACCGGUGAUGACCAGCUUGUAGAUGUGGCGGUGUGGGCUGUCCUCUUUGUCGUGCCUCUCCCCUGGCACGUAGUCUCCCAGACCGAUGGUCGUCAAGGAGAUGAAGCAGAAGUAGAGCGACUCCAGAAAGUUCCAGUCCUUCUCCAAGGCCCAGAAGAUCCAGGCGGGGAUGAUGAGCACCAGCAUGGCCACGACCGCGGCCAGGAGGGCGGCGUGGCCCACGGCGAACCUGGACUUGGACACGGCCCACCUGCGGGGGAAGUAGGAGAGGGGUCGGCGGGUCACCAGGAUCAUGAUCCUCUGCACCAUGGCGGAGAGCAAGAAGAGGGUGACGGGGAUGCCCACGAUGGAGUAGAAGAUGCAGAACGCCUUUCCUUCGUCCGACAGAGGAACCGUAUGACCGUAACCUGCACACACAUGACACUAAUUAGUCAUUAAGUCCCUCACUUGUACCAUGUUUACAUUCUAACUUAAAAAGAAGAUGUUUGACGAGCACUUCUUGGAUUGGGUCCAGAAAAAAAGUACCUUGAAAGUA